UACGUAGGGGGCAAGCGUUGUCCGGAAUCAUUGGGCGUAAAGCGCGUGUAGGCGGCCCGGUAAGUCCGCUGUGAAAGUCCAGGGCUCAACCCUGGGAUGCCGGUGGAUACUGUCGGGCUCGAGUCCGGAAGAGGAGUGUGGAAUUCCUGGUGUAGCGGUGAAAUGCGCAGAUAUCAGGAGGAACACCAAUGGCGAAGGCAGCACUCUGGGACGUGACUGACGCUGAGGAGCGAAAGCAUGGGGAGCGAACAGG
rnacentral:rRNA from 1 species